ACGUCAGCUCUUCUCCCUGUUAAAGGGACACAGCGAUCCUCUUUUUUUUUCCUAAGGCCUCGAAAGACUUCCGCCCACACCCAAUAUGGCGGGCGACGGGAGCGGGUAGAGUUCCGGGAUGUGGAGCAGAAGAUCACUGGGAGGGGGUGGAGCCUCCUUUGCCCAAGUUUCGAUCCCACCAGGACUGGAUAAUGCGCUGCCCAGAGAUUGGGGGGAGCCGAACGCGAGCGUCCUCGAAAAGGGCUAAGCUCCUCCUCCAUCCCUUCAUCCUCCUCGGUCCCCGCUGGGUACGAACUGUGGCGACUCCGAGUCUCCAUAGCCCCUGCGCCUGCAGAGGUCAGGGAGUGGAAGAGGUGUGACUCUCUGGCCUGUUAUCUGUUCCACAGCCUUAGUCCCUCCUUUGUGAAUGCAGAGAACUCGGAGGGCUUUUGUGAGAAAUCGGUUAACUUCCACAAAUCCUAGUACAGUGCAUGUAAUGAAGUCUUUAGUGUACAAAAAGUUUACAGUGUCUUUCAUAAAAUACGGACAUAAGC
rnacentral:lncRNA from 1 species